rnacentral:rRNA from 1 species
GAUGAACGCUGGCGGCGUGCCUAAUACAUGCAAGUCGAGCGAACAGAUGAGGAGCUUGCUCCUCUGACGUUAGCGGCGGACGGGUGAGUAACACGUGGAUAACCUACCUAUAAGACUGGGAUAACUUCGGGAAACCGGAGCUAAUACCGGAUAAUAUAUUGAACCGCAUGGUUCAAUAGUGAAAGACGGUUUUGCUGUCACUUAUAGAUGGAUCCGCGCCGCAUUAGCUAGUUGGUAAGGUAACGGCUUACCAAGGCGACGAUGCGUAGCCGACCUGAGAGGGUGAUCGGCCACACUGGAACUGAGACACGGUCCAGACUCCUACGGGAGGCAGCAGUAGGGAAGCUUCCGCAAUGGGCGAAAGCCUGACGGAGCAACGCCGCGUGAGUGAUGAAGGUCGUCGGAUCGUAAAACUCUGUUAUUAGGGAAGAACAAAUGUGUAAGUAACUAUGCACGUCUUGACGGUACCUAAUCAGAAAGCCACGGCUAACUACGUG